rnacentral:rRNA from 1 species
AACUAACGCUGGCGGCGCGCCUUAAACAUGCAAGUCGAACGGUAGUCCUUGAGCUUGCUUAGGGAUGAGAGUGGCGAACGGGUGAGUAACACGUGGAUAAUCUGCCUCCGGGUUGGGGAUAACUGUCCGAAAGGAUAGCUAAUACCGAAUGAGAUGGUGGUUACACAAGUAGCAGCCAUUAAAGGUGGGGACCGCAAGGCCUACUGCCUGGAGAUGAGUCCGCGGCUGAUUAGCUUGUUGGUGGGGUAACGGCCUACCAAGGCGACGAUCAGUAGCCGGCCUGAGAGGGUGAACGGCCACAUUGGGACUGAGAUACGGCCCAGACUCCUACGGGAGGCAGCAGUUAAGAAUCUUGCACAAUGGGCGCAAGCCUGAUGCAGCGACGCCGCGUGAAUGAUGAAGGCUUUCGGGUUGUAAAGUUCAGUAAG